AUGCAACGCGAAACCUUACUACCCUUGACAUGUCCGGAAUCCCGAAGAGAUUUGGUAGGUGCUCGCAAGAGAACCGGAACACAGGUGCUGCAUGGCUGUCGUCAGCUCGUGUCGUGAGAUGUUGGGUUAAGUCCCGCAACGAGCGCAACCCUUGUCAUUAGUUGCCAUCAUUUGGUUGGGCACUCUAAUGAGACUGCCGGUGACAAACCGGAGGAAGGUGGGGAUGACGUCAAGUCCUCAUGGCCCUUAUGGGUAGGGCUUCACACGUCAUACAAUGGUCGGUACAGAGGGUUGCCAACCCGCGAGGGGGAGCUAAUCCCACAAAGCCGAUCGUAGUCCGGAUCGCAGUCUGCAACUCGACUGCGUGAAGUCGGAAUCGCUAGUAAUCGUGGAUCAGCAUGUCACGGUGAAUACGUUCCCGGGUCUU
rnacentral:rRNA from 1 species